AUGGACGAUCUUUUGUGUUAGUAAUAAACAAUUCAGUCAUAAACAGGAAAAUAAAUAUGUAUUAAGCAGCGAUUACUGGGCUUAAAUUAAUUCGGUGGACUUAUACUCGGGGGGAGGGGGGCUUAUAUUCGGGUGGCUUAUAUUCGGGGGAGGGGCUUAUAUUUGGAAUGAGGUGAGAGUUGUUACAUGUGGUGGGCUUAUCCACGGGAGGGUCGCUUAUAUUCGGUGGGGG